UGAUUUCUCACUAUUAAAA
rnacentral:miRNA from 1 species